UUAUCCCUCUCAACUGUUCAUCUUCUUCUACUUGAACCCCGAUCCUCUUACACCAUCUCAAUCCAAUCCGUCUUCUUUGCACUCUGCAAUCAUCCCAUUCUUGCAGCUGAACGAUGCAGCAGAAACAACGGCAACAUCGCUUCUCAAGCACACACGGCUCAUGAAUUCGACGAACAAGAUCAUAAAGUAGAAGCAGAAGAAGAAGCUCAAUCCAUCUUCUUCACAGUUGAUCUGUGCAAAUCAAUGGCAACACCCCUCCCAUGCGCCCGUGUGUAGAUGAAGGAGGUCACGGUCUGUUGCAGGUCAAUCUGUACGAGAAAGAUGAAGUUGACGUUGCUCCUGCAGACUUCAACUCUGAGCUUUAGGUCUGCACUUAACUGGUUUGGAGCUAGAAGUCGAUGGAGGCUUGAAGGAAUUUGUUGGGCAAAGGCUUGAAGUGCAGUAAUUCUCGCGUGCGUGUGGUUCCCUUGAUGAGAACUUAAAAUCAUGUUUUUGCCUUUCGAAAAAUUACUGUUAAACAACUUUUAUGGGGCUGGUAUAAAAAAUUAAAACUUUUAAUGGAAGUUUAUAUUAUUUAUAUAAGAAUAACUCUUUUGGAAGUUUUUUUAAAUUACUGAUCUAAUUAUUCAAACAA